rnacentral:rRNA from 1 species
GAUGAACGCUGGCGGCGUGCCUAAUACAUGCAAGUCGAGCGGACGGACGAGGAGCUUGCUGCUCUGAUGUUAGCGACGGGCGGGUGAGUAACACGUGGAUAACCUACCUAUAAGACUGAGAUAACUUCGGGAAACCGUAGCUCAUACCGGAUGAUAUUUUGAACGGGAUGGUUCAAAAGUGAUAGCCGGUUUUGCUGUCACUUAUAGCUGGAUGCGCGUUGCUUUGGUUAGUUGGUAAGGUAACGGCUUACUGUGGCCACGAUGCAUAGCCGAACUGAGAGGGGGAUCGGCCACACAGGAGCUGAGCCACGGUCCUGACUCCGACGGGAGGCAGCGGCACGGAAUCGUCCGCGAUGGGCGAAAGCCUGACCGAGCAACGCCGCGUGAAUGAAGAGGGUCUGCGGAUCGUAAAACUCUGUUAGUAGGGAAGAACAUAUGUGUAAGUAACUGUGCACAUCUUGACGGUACCUAAUCAGAAAGCCACGGCUAACUACGUG